UGGACUUGAAGAGAUAGUUAUGAAUUUAGAAUAUCAUCAAGUGACUUUUAAUAAGGCACUGUUUUCAGUGGAUGAACCGACAUCAUGCAGUGUGACAGGAAAACGCCCGUGAGACCAAAGAUGGCUUAGAUAAAAGGGAAGACGAUGCAGAAGCCUCUGUACCAGAGAAAAAUCCAGAGAUGGCCCUCAAAGAAGUUAGAAACAAGAUGAGAGACCGUCUUAAGUUGUUUAGGUCUGGAGCCACCUUCCCCCACCCACGAGUCGAAGAAAUAGAUCUUUGAACCACUCCAGGUUACCCGUGACAUCAAGAUAAACAAAA